CAGAGGGUGCGAGCGUUAAUCGGAGUUACUGGGCGUAAAGGGCGCGUAGGCGGUUAUAUAAGUGAGUUGUGAAAUCCCUGGGCUUAACCUAGGAAUGGCAACUUAAACUGUAUAGCUAGAGUGCAGUAGAGGGUAGUGGAAUUUCCGGUGUAGCGGUGAAAUGCGUAGAGAUCGGAAGGAACACCAGUGGCGAAGGCGACUACCUGGACUGAAACUGACGCUGAGGCGCGAGAGCGUGGGGAGCAAACAGGAUUAGAUACCCUGGUAGUCCACGCUGUAAACGAUGAUAACUAGAUGUUGGUGCGCGCGAGCGCAUAAGUAUCGAAGCUAACGCGAUAAGUUAUCCGCCUGGGGAGUACGGCCGCAAGGUUA
rnacentral:rRNA from 1 species